rnacentral:rRNA from 1 species
AUUGAACGCUGGCGGCCGGCCUAACACAUGCAAUUCGAACGAGUGGCGGACGGGUGAGUAAUGUCGGGGAACCUGCCUGAUGGAGGGGGAUAAGUACUGGAAACGGUGGCUAAUCCCGCAUACCAUCAGAUGUGCCAAGAUGGGUUUGGCUAGUUGGUGGGGUAACGGCUCACCAAGGCGACGAUCCCUAGCUGGUCUGAGAGGAUGACCAGCCACACGGAAACUGAGACACGGUCCAGACUCCUACGGGCGGCAGCAGUGGGGAAUAUUGCACAAUGGGCGCAAGCCUGAUGCAGCCAUGCCGCGUGUAUGAAGAAGGCCUUCGGGUUGUAAAGUACUUUCAGCGGGGAGGCGUUACCCGCAGAAGAAGCACCGGCUAACUCCGUGCCAGCAGCCGCGGUAAUUC